rnacentral:rRNA from 1 species
UACGGAGGGUGCAAGCGUUAAUCGGAAUUACUGGGCGUAAAGCGCACGCAGGCGGUCUGUCAAGUCGGAUGUGAAAUCCCCGGGCUCAACCUGGGAACUGCAUUCGAAACUGGCAGGCUAGAGUGUGAUAGAGGGUGGUAGAAUUUCAGGUGUAGCGGUGAAAUGCGUAGAGAUCUGAAGGAAUACCGAUGGCGAAGGCAGCCACCUGGACAGAUACUGACGCUGAGGCACGAAAGCGUGGGGAGCAAACAGG